GACCUAUCAGCUUUCGACGGUAGUGUAUUGGACUACCGUGGCAGUGACGGGUAACGGGGAAUUAGGGUUCGAUUCCGGAGAGGGAGCCUGAGAAACGGCUGCCACAUCUAAGGAAGGCAGCAGGCGCGCAAAUUACCCAAUCCUGACUCAGGGAGGUAGUGACAAGAAAUAACAACACUGGAAAUUUUAUUUCUAGUGAUUGGAAUGAUGGGAAUCUAAACCCCUUUCAGAGUAACAAUUGGAGGGCAAGUCUGGUGCCAGCAGCCGCGGUAGUUCCAGCUCCAAUAGCGUAUAUUAAAGUUGUUGCAGUUAAAAAGCUUGUAGUUGGAUAUCUGCUGGAAGCAAUCAGUCCGCCUUAUUUAGGGUGUGCACUUGAUGAAUUCUGGCAUCUAUUAUUCCUAAUAUUAUACUGAUGACUUUCAGUAGUCAUCAGUGUUGGGAAUAAUACAGUUACUUUGAGAAAAUUAGAGUGUUUGAAGCAGGCUUAUUGCCUUGAAUACUGCAGC
rnacentral:rRNA from 1 species